rnacentral:rRNA from 1 species
GACGAACGCUGGCGGCGUGCUUAACACAUGCAAGUCGAACGGAAAGGCCCUGCUUUUGUGGGGUGCUCGAGUGGCGAACGGGUGAGUAACACGUGAGUAACCUGCCCUUGACUUUGGGAUAACUUCAGGAAACUGGGGCUAAUACCGGAUAGGAGCUCCUGCUGCAUGGUGGGGGUUGGAAAGUUUCGGCGGUUGGGGAUGGACUCGCGGCUUAUCAGCUUGUUGGUGGGGUAGUGGCUUACCAAGGCUUUGACGGGUAGCCGGCCUGAGAGGGUGACCGGCCACAUUGGGACUGAGAUACGGCCCAGAAUCCUACGGGAGGCAGCAGUGGGGAAUAUUGCACAAUGGGCGGAAGCCUGAUGAAGCAGCGCCGCGUGCGGGAUGACGGCCUUCGGGGUGUAAACCGCUUUCGCCUGUGACGAAGCGUGAGUGACGGUAAUGGGUAAAGAAGCACCGGCUAACUACGUG